rnacentral:rRNA from 1 species
AACGAACGCUGGCGGCAUGCCUAACGCAUGCCAGUCGAACGAGACCUUCGGGUCUAGUGGCGCACGGGUGCGUAACGCGUGGGAACCUGCCUUUAGGUUCGGAAUAACUCAGAGAAAUUUGAGCUAAUACCGGAUGAUGUCUUCGGACCAAAGAUUUAUCGCCUUUAGAUGGGCCCGCGUUGGAUUAGCUAGUUGGUGGGGUAAAGGCCUACCAAGGCGACGAUCCAUAGCUGGUCUGAGAGGAUGAUCAGCCACACUGGGACUGAGACACGGCCCAGACUCCUACGGGAGGCAGCAGUGGGGAAUAUUGGACAAUGGGCGAAAGCCUGAUCCAGCAAUGCCGCGUGAGUGAUGAAGGCCUUAGGGUUGUAAAGCUCUUUUACCCGAGAUGAUAAUGACAGUAUCGGGAGAAUAAGCUCCGGCUAACUCCGUG